CUGCACUGAGCUAAGAGCAUUGUAUCUGAGAGCUAAUUACCUUCAAGGGAACAUUCCACCCGAGAUUGGAGAACUUGUGCACCUUACCAUCUUGGACUUGUCAAGCAAUUUGCUCAGGGGUACAAUUCCUCCAU